rnacentral:rRNA from 1 species
UACGUAGGGUGCGAGCGUUGCCCGGAUUUAUUGGGCGUAAAGGGCUCGUAGGCGGCUCAGUAAGUCGGGUGUGAAACCUCCAGGCUCAACCUGGAGACGCCACUCGAUACUGCUGUGGCUAGAGUCCGGUAGGGGAGCAUGGAAUUCCUGGUGUAGCGGUGAAAUGCGCAGAUAUCAGGAGGAACACCAGUGGCGAAGGCGGUGCUCUGGGCCGGAACUGACGCUGAUGAGCGAAAGCGUGGGGAGCAAACAGG